rnacentral:rRNA from 1 species
GUGGGGAAUAUUGGACAAUGGGGGCAACCCUGAUCCAGCAAUGCCGCGUGAGUGAUGAAGGCCUUAGGGUUGUAAAGCUCUUUUACCCGGGAAGAUAAUGACUGUACCGGGAGAAUAAGCCCCGGCUAACUCCGUGCCAGCAGCCGCGGUAAUACGGAGGGGGCUAGCGUUGUUCGGAAUUACUGGGCGUAAAGCGCACGUAGGCGGCUUGGUAAGUUAGAGGUGAAAGCCUGGAGCUCAACUCCAGAAUUGCCUUUAAGACGGCCGAGCUAGCAGGUGAGAGAGGUAAGUGGAAUUCCGAGUGUAGAGGUGAAAUUCGUAGAUAUUCGGAAGAACACCAGUGGCGAAGGCGGCUUACUGGCUCAUACUGGACGCUGAGGUGCGAAAGCGUGGGGAGCAAACAGG